GUUUCUGUAGUGUAGUGGUUAUCACGUUCGCCUAACACGCGAAAGGUCCCUGGUUCGAAACCAGGCAGGAACA
rfam:Astyanax mexicanus chromosome 23, whole genome shotgun sequence.